CAUAGUCAUCAACCGCCCUGAAAGACAAACUCUUGAGCUCUCAGGAUACAUGCCAAUCAACCCUUGUGAACUGGAAAUCUCACUUUGAAUGAGAGACUUAACUUCUUGUGCUUCCCACCUGGACCAGAGCUACUAACAACCCCGCUGUCCCAGACAAAGGCCUCCAAAGCAUUUUGUAAAUAAGAUAAACCCCUAAAUUGGAGAUGAGGCAAAUCUCUAUUUUGUAUGGACUCGGAGAGCAGUAUUGUUGCUAGCGGCUAACGAGGCCGGCAGAGAACGGGGCAUGCAUGCUGAGGGCCCUAGCCAUUCUGACAUAUUGCCUAACAGAUCAUUUAUCUCUCAAGUAUCCUCCGGUGGAGUGGAAGUAGGAAGUAAGAUGGUUGAAAAUGCAAAAAGCAGCAACAAAAUGGACACCGGUAAACUGCAGACGCCUCUUCUGGAUCCUUCUAACGACUGGGUCUUUUUUGCUUUAAAGAAAAGAGAUCAAAUUCCUUCAGCAGCAGAAUCUUCACUCCAUUGGCAGCAGUUUCCCAGCCCUGCAAGCCCUACAGUUUCCUGAUCCGCCACUGUGUGGUAGCGAAGGCAAUAAAAAGAGUUUGUCAGGGCUGCUCUAAAAUCUCA